GAUGCACGUUGGGGGCAUCUGAGGGACUCUUACCCAACUCCGUUCGUUGGUCUACGUGUUCGUGCGAUGGCCAGAACCUAAGAGACUGCUUCACGAACUGCGCCCGGAGAAGUCCUGACAAUCUGCCGACGGACGCGGGUUCGAUUCCCGCCAUCUCCACUC
rnacentral:tmRNA from 1 species